rnacentral:rRNA from 1 species
CGUAGGGUGCGAGCGUUGUCCGGAAUUAUUGGGCGUAAAGAGCUUGUAGGCGGUUUGUCGCGUCGGAAGUGAAAACUCGGGGCUUAACUUCGAGCUUGCUUCCGAUACGGGCUGACUAGAGGAAGUUAGGGGAGAACGGAAUUCCUGGUGGAGCGGUGGAAUGCGCAGAUAUCAGGAGGAACACCAAUGGCGAAGGCAGGUCUCUGGGCAGUUACUGACGCUGAGGAGCGAAAGCAUGGGUAGCGAACAGGAUUAGAUACCCUGGUA